rnacentral:rRNA from 1 species
UCCGUAGGUGAACCUGCGGAAGGAUCAUUAUUGAAUAU